GGUGAUAUGGCUCAGUGGUAGAGCAGUUGCUUAGCAUGCAUGAGGCCUGGAUUCAAUCCCCAGCACUACCA
rnacentral:tRNA from 1 species